GGGAAGGAUGAGAAGCUUCGACUAAGGUUCGAUUCGAGCGAAAGCGAGAAAGCGUUGCCAACGGCAACGACCCGAAGGGCGAAGCGCGCAGCGCUGAGUAAUCCUUCCCCCACCACCA
rnacentral:sRNA from 1 species